GUGUGUGUGUGUGUGUGUGUGUGUGGAGUUAUUGUCAGCCAAUAGAAAAGCAUUCACAGAGGACAAGUAACACUAAAAAGAUCAAAUUCCUGCUACCAAUCAAAAGAGUUUUUUUGAGGGGUGAUUUGACCUCCUGACUCAAAGAUCUAUCGACGUUUACAGCCUCUAGCAGCUCAAGGGUGGCGCUCGCGUCCGGUCGCCGCGGCAACGGUUCUCAUGAAUAACUGGUGGAGUAAUGUGUCACUGGAGGUGUUUUCAUUAUCUUUCUAACAAUCCCUAUGAUUAUGUUUUUGUAUCCGUGCGAUGUGAUUGGGUUGAGCCCUGUUGCCUCCUCAGCCAAUCAGAGUGAUUUGAGGGGUCCACAAGCCGUGAACAGAAUAACGAUGAUGUCGCCCUCUUGGCUCAAAGGAACUUUGUCUCAGCAGAAAAAAAGGACCCUGGGGCCCAUCUGCGCCAUGGGAGAACACACAGACUUGUGUGUUCUGUGUGUGCAUGUGUGCACUUGUGCGUGUUUGUAAUUUAAGCGAGGGCUUUACAUGGUAAAAUACUUGAUAGAGAUGCCUCACUCACAUAUGAGCACCCUGAUGCAGAACUCUAGCUAGCCUGAUAACACCCUAGCUAGCAUUUUGGCACCCUGAUGGGGAGAUAGUAGGAUGGCAAGCUCGCAUUAUGGAAUCCUAGCUAGCAUGAUGGCAGCCUAUCUAUUAUGAUGGAAUGCAGGCAGAAUAUAUGUGGAUAGACUCAGAAAUACAGGGCCUACUUUGAGGCUAGUCAGUAGUUUACUAGAGAGUUUACCCACGGUACGAACACACCGGAAAUGAGAGUUUCAUUGUGGAUGUGUAGACCCAGCCCCUCGCACUCAAACUACACCCAUCAUACACCAGCCACGCCCCCUCAUACACAAUCCACGUCCCACCGCUAGGAGUCACGUGACUCUGAAGCCCUGACUGGUGUCUGAUAUCCAUUUAUACAAAACCCUAUUUUGUACGUUUUCUGUGACUUAUUAUCGUGUUUGAAGGUUUAUCUCUGUGUGUGAAUAUUUUUUUAUGUUUUAAGGUUUGAUUGUACGAAAUAAAGUGUAAAAAGGUUAGCAAGUAAUUUGAUUAAACAUUGACUCUUGUGGAAAAAGUAAAUACAUAAGAAACAAUUUUAUGAAGAAAAUAUGUAUAAAUUGUGAUGUUUCUAUUCUUUGUAUGCAUUACAUUUACUUUUUAAAUACAAGGGAAAGUUUGCAAUGGUUAUUUCUGGGUCUUCUUGUGCGACAACUAUGGAAAUGUUCUGAAAUCAGAAGGGCCUUUUCUGCCAUCUUCUGGUAGUUAUAGGAAAUACAAAUAAGAAACGUUUGGGUAUUAUGUUCGAGACUGUUGGUGGGUAUAAGGUUAAGGUGUCAGGAACAGCCAACUGUAUAUCUUUAGCCUAGGCCUACAUAAUAUUUUUUAAAUGGAAGGAAAUUAUUUUAUGUAUUUUAAUAUCUAGAUUUCUUAGUCCACCUGACCCUAUCCAUUUUGUAACCAUUUUCUACUUUUGAAAAUCUGUUGGUGUUGUAUUCAAUAGGCCUCUUUAGACACGUGUAUUGACACAUUUUAAAUGUCAGAGGGCAGCAUAGCUCUGGAUUUACUUUCGGACUCAUAGGAAACAAUCUUCACUAUAGAUCUUAUAGUUUAAUGUUGAAUAAUAAAUGUUAUUAACCUGGC
ensembl:lncRNA